rnacentral:rRNA from 1 species
GACGAACGCUGGCGGCGUGCUUAACACAUGCAAGUCGAGCGGUAAGGCCCUUUCGGGGGUACACGAGCGGCGAACGGGUGAGUAACACGUGGGUGACCUGCCCUCAGCUCUGGGAUAAGCCUGGGAAACCGGGUCUAAUACCGGAUAUGACUCCAUGACGCAUGUUGUGGGGUGGAAAGCCUUGUGCGGCUGAGGAUGGGCCCGCGGGCUAUCAGCUUGUUGGUGGGGUAACGGCCACCAAGGCGACGACGGCUAGCUGGUCUGAGAGGAUGAUCAGCCACACUGGGACUGAGACACGGCCCAGACUCCUACGGGAGGCAGCA